AGAAAUCCUAUUAGUGCCCAGUUAAGAGAAUAGCUGUGUCAUGAAUUCAGUGCUUAUUAGAGGAUCCAGAGGGACUCCCAGCAUACAGAUGCAAAUCCACAGGAAAUUAGGUCCCUGAAUUCUAGUGCUCAACGAAAUCGCUGUUUUUGUGAAGGUGCUCUCAAAUAUGAAUGGUGAGAAAUUGGUCUCAUUUAUAUUUCUGUAAAUCAAGAAUAACUGCAGAGCAAGGAGAUGGAGUCAUCAUUCUUAGAUAUUUCAACAGCUCCCAUGGCCUCAGAAUCUGAGUGUUUCUAUAUCUAUGUGGAUCAAUUACUGCCUGUGAGCUGGGGAAAUGCUAAUAUCCUCAUUGCACAGACUGCAUCUGAGACAGACAGAGACUGGAGACCAGUUCCCUAACAAGAUUUAAAUAUAUAAUUCCUAUUGAUUUCUACUGCUAAUCAAGGGACAUUAGAUGCUCUGUACUAGGCAGUUGUUUUUUUUUUUUUUUUCAGAAAAUAUAUGUUGAAGGAUGGAAUUGAGCUGACAUGUUCUGCAUUCGUGGUUACCUCUUUAAUCACAGAACCUUCUUCCCCGGCUGGAGAAGACUCUUCCUCACUGUGCAGUGGCCUGCAGGAGCUAAAUGGGAACGGGAAGGAGGGGAGAAGGAUGCUUUUGUUUUCCUUUUAUCAUUUUUGGAGGUGAUCAGAUGCUGCAGAAUUCUGCAAGGACGGGGGAAGGAGGCUGAUGUCACCUGGCUGUUUGUUUCUGCAAGCAGAGAGCGCAUCUUCAACUGGAUCCUGGAAGCACAGAGCUUUAUGAGGGCUGUGAUGCAGGAGUGCUGUUUCAAGGUCCGCUUACAGUAGCCAUCAGGAAAUCAUGUUCUCUCCACAACACUCAGAGUUUCCAGCUCCCAAAGGUCAUCUGUAGGAAAGUCUGUGCGGGGAAGUACAAGAAAAGGUCUGGAAAUGAUUAUCUAAAUCCGUGUAACUGGUUCCUGGAGGCCACACAGGAAUAGCCAUCCCUGCUGGGUUUAAGGUGCAGAAGGGAAAGAUCUCCCAGCUCGUGACUUUCCGAAUUAAGCAAGAAGAGUGUUGUGUCGAUUAGCAGAAGUGCAAACUGAGCUUGUGCUUUUCAAAUUACUCAUUUUCCCCAGUCCCAAGGCCCUGAUUCAGCAAAGCAAUGCAGCUGAAAUCACCCCUUCCCAGCAAGUCUCCCCAGCCCAGCUACAGCUCGGGCCCAUGCCUUCACUUGCCAGCACAGUUAAAGAAAAUACCUGAUCCCUUUGACCAUUCUUAAAAUAACUUCAAAGGGAUUUUUUUAAUGGAGAAUUUCUUGUGGGGAAACACUACAACCAAACAGCAAUGUGUUCUAAGAGUCUCAUCUCAGAGGAGUGGCUGUGUUUGCUGCAUUAUGAUCUUGGUAGAGCCUUUAUUGUAUUGUAUUUAUUGUAAUGCUCUAGAGGCCAGGUUGAAAUCCCUGAUUUGCAUCUUAAAUCCUUGCUUAUAACCCAGUGACAAAGUAUUUUUUCAGCAGUUUGCCAAUGCAGUGAUUUGUUACUUGGUUGCACAGAUAGUUGAUAUGAAUAGUUAACACAAUUUGAGUGUUAUAUUAGGGAAAAAAAUCAUACAGUUUAUAGAGCAAUGUGGUGGAAAAUCCUCUCAUAGUAAGAAACUAUCAUUGCAUUUAUAGUGCUGGAUGAGCUAGUCAUGUAAAAAUUGUAAUGUAAACAUAGAAAUUUGCCAUUUUUAAUGCUAUUUCCUUCCUAGACAUUAUUGAUGCAUCUGUUAUCUUAGACUGCAGUUAUUUGUUUAGUAACUAUAUAUCAGUAACUUGUUGGAAAGGUACCUUUACCUUUAUGGACUGUUUGGCUUGGAUCCAGCAGAGUAAAAAUAUCUAUUCAUACUAUCUUAUAUCAAUAGGCUAAAGCAUAUCUUUCUUCUCAUCUCCACUCAUCUUUAACUAUGGAAAGAUGGUAAGUAGUCAGAAGAGGUAGUGAACAGCACAGUGGAAGGUCCUUACGAGUAAACUGUGGAAAAAAUGUGACCUUAAGAAAGCAAAAAGUAAAAUAAAAAGUCGGAAUCCUUAAACCCUUCAAAGAGUUUGUUUUUACAGCUGCCAAAAGGGGGGAAGAAUAGGUUGGUUGAGACAAUGGGUGAACACGAAGGAAUGUUCACACAUUAUCACAGCCUGGGUUUCCUCUCUGGGGCUCGGGUGUGGGUGUGCAUCCCACACAGGUGUGGUGAAAGCCCAGGGCAGCCGUGUCUCCAUGGGUUGGCCACAACCCCAAGCUAAGUGAGCACAACUGUGCCACUCCUGCUCUUAUCAGGCCCAUAAAAACCCAACUCUUGCUGCGCGUGUUUGCAUUGUUCGUGGCCAAGCGCGUGAGGAGGAGAGAGGUUGUUUACUCAAUAAAUCUGAUUGUUGUUACUGCUUUGUUCAGCCAAAAUUACAGAGAAUUGUUUCCCAGGACUGUGUUAGAGCUGUUUGAUCACUCUGAUUGCUGGUGCUUUAACAACCAUUGAUAUUGAUAAUUACUCACGUUGCUGGCACUGUUUGAAAAACUUCUCUUGCCUCACACAGUUUGCUGACAAAGAAGGCUGUUCUCCCCUAGAUCUCUUGACCUGAAAAGCUCUCCUCUCCUUUUGAGUUUUUGAAGUAAAAUUUCAGAUGCACGUAAGUAAAUGUACGAAAAAAGGGACAGUGAUUUAUUUGUUUUUUAAAACAACGUUGAAAUUCAAGUGAAGCACAUUUUAUGUACAAAAUGAAAUGUCUCGACAGAGAUGGACCAAGAUUUCUUUUGCUGUUUUUCAGAUAAAGUGAGCUGACAUUAUAAAAUUGCAUCUUCACUUGGACAGAAAAACUGUAUCCUGCCCAAGCCUGGCUAUUAUCUCAAUAUGACGAUAAGGUUUUCUUGUCAUUCGUUGAGAAACAAGUGUCAGCUCACUUUGAGUCACCACUGAGUCACAGUACAAGUUCACUUCAAAGGCAACCUGCCCAGAGCCCCAGACACGAGGCUGUGAGUGAAGCACAGUGACCCCACCGUGCUCAGUCAGGCUGGGAUUUUACAACUGCACUGACAUGCCCGUGUCAGCUGGCAACAGAUAAUUCCUGACUAUCUGAGCUGUGGCUCUAAGAUGUAAUUUAAGGAUUUUUUUUUUUUUUUUUCCGUAAGCGAAAAGUAUUAAACGGGGACGUCGGGUUCUGUGAUUUUAAACAGUUUGUUAAAAAAACCCAACACCUCACAAACAUUUGAGCUGGCAUUUCUCCCUGAUGCUGAUUAAGAGCUCAAAUAACUCUCUUGAACAGGAUUUUCCCAGGUCAGGUCUCAAGUGCAUUCCCCCAUUUAUAGCUCCUCAGUCUCCCUGACCCUUUGCCAUCCCCACCUCCACAUCAAUCCCCCCCACACUCCUGCUAUUGAUGUGCUCUGUCUUGGGUGCAGGGAUACAAAGGGAGCACAACCCCACUGACCCGUGGCUGUGUUCUGCAGAUCUCCCUCUCUCACCAGGCACUGCCUGGUUUCACUUCUGAGAAAUUGGAUCAGAUAAAAGUUCAAUUGUUUUGCACUGAAUUGCAGCGAAGCAGAGCUGUCAGUUUAAUUAACUCCUAACUCCAAGCCUCUGAUGAAGGUGCCUGGGAGCAGGCAGUGGAAAUAAAACAGAUGAUGGCAGAGCUGUUUCUCUCAGGGCUGAGGUGUUCUUCAGAAGGGAAGAGUGCCCAGAGAACAUCUCUGCAGCUCACAGAGCCUGGAACCAGCUCUGUGGUACAGAGCACAGAGAGCAGGGGUACAAACUGCAAAAGGUCACACACGUUGGGCUGGACCUGGCCCUAAUUACUUUAGAGGGAAACUUUGACCAAAGCAAAAGAUCACUUUAGGCUGGAACACAACAUAAAGCUAAUUUUUAGUGAAUUUUAAGAGCAGAGACCGUGUUCUGGCUGAGGCAUUUCCUGGAUAACAACAAAUCUCUCAAGUGGGCUUGAAUCUGCAGAAGAGGAAUCCACUAAAGCCACUGAAUUCAUGGUUGCAUGCUUGUUGACCAAAGCCCAUGGGCUGUUCCAGCUCCUGCUCUACCCUGGGAAGAUAGGGUGAAGGUGUGAAUUUAAUUUCUCUGACAAUCUUGUCUCUGUCUCAGGCUUUUCGUGGCUGAUGCAAAUCUGAGCUAUGGGCAGCACGGUGGUGAGGGUGACUGAGCACUGGCGUGGGCUGCCCAGGGAGGUUUUGGACUCUCCAUCGCUGGAAAUAUCCAAAAGCCAUCCAGACACAGUCCUGGUCACUCACUCCAGGUGAUGCUUGGACCAGAUGAACUCCACAUCUCCCUUCCUCAACCACUCUAGAGACUGGAGCAGCAUCCUCUGCAGAGCAGCACAGAAACCCCUGCUCAUCCUGAAACUGCUCAGUUCAUCCUGAAACUGCUCUCUUCAGCCCCCAUUUCCUGAAGUGAAACUGGUUUAGGUGGAAAGUCUAGGAAAUAAGUGGCUGCCAUGCUGUCAGGUGGAUGAUUUGGGGAAGUACAAGUAAAUGUUGCUUCAAAGGAGCAAAGAAGUCUUAUUCUGCUUUUAGCUCUCCUCAUCUGCCCUGCAGAGAGUCAGAGGGGUGCACCCAGCCAAUGGGUCACCCUCGGGGAUGCUGGAAGAGGGUGAACACUUAGGAAUUUGUAUUUGAUUAAUUUUGCAUCUUUUCUUUCCUUUGGCCACCUAAAAUUCUACUGAGCAGAAGACAGCUUCCCUGGAAGUGAGUCAUCAGAGCAAACCCUUCUGUGAACAGCUUUGGGGCUGCAGUGUGUGGUACAGACCAUUUACAGCAUUUGCUGUUCAGGACUGUAACAGUUUUCAUUGGGCCUUUCUGUCUUGGGUAAUACUAUGAUGCCUUUCCUGGAGGGGCAGUAAAUAAAUCAGAUGUUUACCAUGUUGAAUCAAACAUUAUGACUUUUAAAAACUUUGUUUUUCUGAAAGUAUUUGCUCUCUUUGCUUGAAACAUAUUGUUCGUGCCAACACGUUUCCUAAGAAGCCUGCAAAAACAUCUCGAAGACAAAACAGAUACAAAGGAGGAAACAUAUGUUUUCAAAUGGGAGAAAACAUUUGUAUGUCUAAGUCUCCAAACAUGAGCAAUUUUUUCAUUUUAUUGAGACAGACUUGCAGCCCAACUAGAUUUGACAUGAAUAGUAAGAAAGACCCUCUGAAAUCU
rnacentral:lncRNA from 1 species